rnacentral:lncRNA from 1 species
CUUCAACAGUUUAGAAGGUAACGUGUUUACGCUCAACGUGAUUUUUUUUAAUGUAAACGGAUUCACCACCUUCAAGUCGGCAGGAUGAAUUCCAUAGGUAAGGUGGUGUUGGGACUUUUGGGGCUUGCUGUCGUCAUCAUCUUGAUAGCAGUGCCCACAGCAAUAUAUCUGAACGCGGAAAAAGUGACGGCUCAGAGGACGUUCACGCUCAGUGACGUCUUCAAUAGUUCCAUCAGGGACAGAUCCUACAACAUGCGCUGGAUCUCAGGUAAAACACACUAGAAGCCUAAAUGAGUGGAUGGCUGUUAUGUUUAAUCCAGUCAGGAAUUGUGUGCCUGGAAUGUAUUACACAACGCUCUAACCCUGGAAGGAUGCACGUUUAGAUGUAAGCCAACAACACAAUGUUCCCUUUACAAAAUGAUAAGAAACAAUCCAAAAACAAUACUAGGCCUAUAUACUGUCUCUAUUUAAAUGGCACACUUUGGCUUUUUGUUAAAUCAUCAGUGCUAGGCAGAGACCUGAGUAGCAACAGUGCUGAUAUUUCAACUUAAACGUCAGUUAGUUCGUUAUUAUUAAACUCCUCUCUUCUUUCCCCUCCCCGAUAAACCAUGAGUAUCUGCAUAAUAAAGACGGCUCCAUCUUCCUUCACAACCUGAUUACAGGAAACAACUCAGAAUUCCUGAGCAGCAUCACAUUUGAUAAAGUGGCUGCCUAUGACUAUGUAGUGUCUGCUGAUCAAAAAUAUGUUGCUUUCAAGAGCAAUUGGACUAAGAUAUGGAGACACUCCUUCACAGCUUCCUAUUCUCUCUAUGAUUUGGCAGGCUCG